rnacentral:lncRNA from 12 species
CACUCAGGCACACUAAGGUGUGGUGUCACAGAGCUUGGCAGAUCCACCCUUGCUCUGCUGCCUCCACAGCUGGAGCCAAGCAGUUUCUCAGGGCUGGGUCUUGGCUCUGUUCCUGGGUACAGCAGCCCUGCCAUGCCAGGACCAGCUGCUGCCCACCCCUGGCCUUGGCAGAGCCCAUCCCUUGUGUUGCUCUGGGAUGAGGCACACAGAGGCAGCCCAUGGUGUUGUCUCGUACCGUCCGACGAAGCAAAGGGAAUCACAAAAACUGCAGAAGCAACAUGGCCAAAGCAUCAGAGAGGAAUGCUGCUCAGGGAGCACAGACAGAACUUUCAGUGAUGCCAUUUGUCAAAACAGAGGAAUUUGAGCUCUGCAGAAUAAAAACAGAGAGUCAGGUGAGAUGCUAUUGCUGUGUACUUAAAGAUGCCACAGCACUGCUAAAUGCUGUUUGUCACUCGUGUCUGAGCAAUACCAAUUAUCAUCCUCGAAAGGCUAGACAGGGUGAUGAUUUCAAACUGCUAGCAAGCAGUUUCCCC